GACGAACCGAGCGAACGUUGUUCGGAAUCACUGGGCUUAAAGGGCGCGUAGGCGGGUGUGUAAGUCUGCGGUGAAAUCCUCCAGCUUAACUGGAGAAGUGCCGUGGAUACUGCGCAUCUUGAGGAGGGUAGGGGCAUCUGGAACGGUCGGUGGAGCGGUGAAAUGCGUUGAUAUCGACCGGAACUCCGGUGGCGAAGGCGAGGUGCUGGACCCUUUCUGACGCUGAGGCGCGAAAGCCAGGGGAGCAAACGGG
rnacentral:rRNA from 1 species